rnacentral:rRNA from 1 species
GAUGAACGCUGGCGGCGUGCCUAAUACAUGCAAGUCGAGCGAACGGACGAGAAGCUUGCUUCUCUGAUGUUAGCGGCGGACGGGUGAGUAACACGUGGAUAACCUACCUAUAAGACUGGGAUAACUUCGGGAAACCGGAGCUAAUACCGGAUAAUAUUUUGAACCCCAUGGUUCAAAAGUGAAAGACGGUCUUGCUGUAACUUUUAGAUGGAUCCGCGCUGCAUUAGCUAGUUGUUAAGUUAACGGCUUACCAAGGCAACGAUGCAUAGCCGACCUGAGAGGGUGAUCGGCCACACUGGAACUGAGACACGGUCCAGACUCCUACGGGAGGCAGCAGUAGGGAAUCUUCCGCAAUGGGCGAAAGCCUGACGGAGCAACGCCGCGUGAGUGAUGAAGGUCUUCGGAUCGUAAAACUCUGUUAUUAGGGAAGAACAUAUGUGUAAGUAACUGUGCACAUCUUGACGGUACCUAAUCAGAAAGCCACGGCUAACUACGUG